UUUUUUUUUUUUUUUUUUUUUUUUUCCCUUUUUUUCUCCUGGGCUGUUCAGCAUCCAGGAGUCCCAGUGCCGGGAGCUUUUAAUGUGUUUGUUGUAAAACUGUCAGCCAGGGAGUCACAACACAGCUCACAGUGACAGGAGCCUGAGUGUGACUCAGACAUCAGGUAAGACAGGCCCCAGGGUCGGGGAGCGGGGAGGAAGAGGGCUCCAGAGGGCUUGUGGGGAGGGGGGUGGUGUCUCAUCUCCUGUCUCAGGAGGUGGAGGGCCAGAGCCUUAGGGGACCCAGCAGAAUCCCCAUCAAUCAUUAUCAGGGAUGGCGGGCCUGCCUGGAGCUGGCAGUACCAAGCAGCGUGAUGAGUGGGGGCGGGGCAGGGUGCCAGCUUGAUUUUCCCAGGCUUGUGACCUGUUCCCAAACCUGGCCCUCCCCGCUGCUGACCCCAGAGAACCCCAGCAUUUGCAGCUGAUGGACCUGUAGGCACCACGGAGCCUAGGUUUCCCGUGCUCUUCCCAUGAAAAGGUUGAGGGGGGCAGGGCCCACACUCUGUGUAGCAUCAGUUGACCAAGAGGAGAAAGAACCAAAUGAAAAGAUUCUUGCAGAAGGCAGGUCUAGGUCCACACCCAGGAGUAAUUACCACUUACCUGAUCAAAGCACCGUGCAAUUACAAAGGGCUCUCCCUUCCACUGUCUCUUCUUCGGGCCCAGCCAUCCUGGAAACCCGUAGCCCUUUCGUUUCUUCUGUAGGUGAGGAACUCAACACCCUGGCGGGGUGGGGACUAAAAUCACUGCACCACAGCCACAUUCAUUGAGCUUUCACUGUAUGGCGGGCUUACAAUGGCCCUAGGAAGCAGGCAUUUCUAGUAUCCUGAUGGUAUAGGCGAAACCAGAGCUUGGAGGCAUUGGGUAACUUGGAUAAGGUCACGCAGCUAGUAAGUCCUGAGGCACACUUGGACCCAGAGUCCAGGCUUCAGGAUGGGGAUGCAAGGUCACCUGACCCCAGACCCAGGCUCCGUCCUGUCCCAACGGCAGCCAUUGUCCUUUAGCCUUAAAGAUCCUUUUGUUGGCUUAUUGUUCUGAGCCUGGGCUCUCUCUCCCUAUUCUCCGAACAAACAACUGCAUAAGGGGUCAGAGGGAGGCAGGGCUUGGAUGUGGUCAGCUAAGGCCUGGAGCUGCCCUUUGCUGGGAAGCGGGGGUGGGGGUGGGUGGGGGUGGGGGGGGUGGGAAAGGACAGGAGCCCUUAGGCCAAGGCCUGGGUCCAUUUUAAUAAGUGAUGUAUUAAAAUAUUCCUGUCGGAGGCCACCCCAUCAGCCGACGUAGGAUCUUUUCCCUGGGAAGGCAAAAUCCGCCUUUCCCAAGGACUCCAUUCAGCAACGGAAGGAUAUAAAUCUUUUAAAUAUACUCCAACACAGGGGUAAAUGCUUGUUGAGAAGGCACUUUGGGCACUGGGCAGAUACCAAAUUCUACCAAGUACAGGAUAUGUUUGAAGUAUCUGGUUAGGGAACAAUAAAUACGGAAAAAGCCAUUCAAAGUCCUCGGUGGGGGAGGGUGUCUCGAAGCCUCCAGAUAUCGAUCGAGCAUUCAGGGCUGCAUUAUUCAAACUUUCCUAAUUGAAUGCUUGUAAUAAGCAUCCAUCUCCCUGGAUUCUGCUUCCUUGUCCUGUCCAGGCGACAGCCCGAAGGAAUAUUGAAAAGUACCUAUAAGGGGGAAAUAGGCAUAUUAAGUUUUAAAAGAAAGAGACUUGAAAAUUACUGCGGUCUGGAGGCCACGGAUGAGGGAACAAGCACAGGUGCCUCUGUGGAGGGCAGGCAGUUGGGGGGGGCCCCUCAGGGCCCAGCAACCUUGGCUUCAGCCUGGCUGGUGGGCCCGUGGAAGGCACGGGUUUGGGACUUUGACCCCUUGAAUUUGAAACCUUUCUUAUGUCUUUUCUAUAGUUGGAACUUGAAGCCAGUUUCUCCAGCUCUUUGGGCCUCUGUCUCUUCUUCUGGAAAAUGGGGAUGGCUGACAAUGCCUCCUGAAAAAGGAUUAAAAGAGAACUCUGUCUCCUUCCGGGCACAGGGCCUGGUCAUAUAGAUGGUAGGCAUCAGAGGAACACACUUAAAGUGCCUACUGUGUGCCAGGCAAUGGCUAUUCACGAACUAGCAAACAAUCUGUGGCACAUGAAGCUUUGCAGAUGGCUUUUGGCAGCCCGGAGCUGACACCCCAAGGGGACAGAGGGGCAGUGGAGGCGUCACCUGGGGGUGGGGGGUGGGGGGUGGGGUGUGGAUUUAGCUUGCCCCUCAUUAUCCCCAAAGGCCUCCAGUCAAUACAGUCCUAAGUAAACCUGCAUGCCUGCUCUCCAAAGGCGGUUGAGAGAAGUCUCCUACCCCCUCUAACCAGAAGCCUUCCUUCUCUGAAUGGAGACCACCGGGUGCUGGGUUCUUGCCCUGGGAUGAAGGAGCUGGUCUUUCUGCUUGUAUCCCCUCUGUCGACAGGUCCUCCUUGAGUUUCAUUUGACAAAUACAGACUUAGCACCGACUUUGGGCCAGGUCCUGUGCUGGCUAACUGGGUAUCAAUGGUGAGGACAUGGGAGUUUUCCCUGGGCUUGAAAAUGAUGAUAGUUGCCAUGGCAAUGAGGUUGGGAGCUAGGAGCUUGGAUAGUCCCCACAUCAGCUGCUCAGGUCCUCCAAGCUUGCAGAAAGAGGAACCAAAGAGAACUAGGUCUUGAGGACUGCCUGAAACCUCAACAUUUUUUAUGUAUUAUUAUUAUUUUCUUUUUACGGCUGCACCUGCAGCAUAUAGAAGUUCCCAGGCUAGGAGUUCCAUUGGAGCUGCUGCUGCAGGCCUGGCCACAGCCACAGCAACACCAGAUCUGAGCUGCUUCUGGGACCUACAAGGCAGCUGCGGCAACACUGGAUCCUGUACCGAGCGAGGCCAGUGAUCAAACCUGCAUCCUCGCAAACAUUAUGUGUUCCCAACAUUCUGAGCCACAAUGGGAACUCCAAACACUUUUUUUUAAAAAAUAAACUUUUAAUUUAGAAUAGUUUUAGGUUUACAGGGAAGUGGUGAAGGUUUUACAGACUUGCCAUAUACCCCGACCCGUUUCUCCCAUUGUUAACAUCUGACAUCUGUUUGCUGUUCACAGCUAAGGAACCAACAUGGGCGCAGUUCUGCUCACUGAACUUCACUGUUCAUUUGGAUAGCCUUUGUUUUUACCUAAUGUUCUUUUUCUGUUCCAGGGUUCCAUCCAGGAUACCAUAUUAAAUUAAUCAUGUCUCCUUAAGCUCCCCUUGGCGGUGAUCAUGUCUCAGAUUUUCCCUGUUUGUUUUUCUUUAUCUUUUUAGGGCCACACCCACAGCAUAGGGAGGUUCCCAGGCUAGGGGUCAAAUCGGAGCUGUAGCCACCCACCUACGCGAGAGCCACAGCAACGUGGGAUCCGAGCCGCAUCUGCAACCUACACCACAGCUCAUGGCAACGCUGGAUCCUCGACCCACUGAGCAAGGCCAGGGAUCAAAACCGCAACCUCGUGGUUCCUAGUCAGAUUCGUUAACCACUGAGCCAUGACGGGAACUCCCUGGUCAGGUAUUUUAUAGGCUUUCCUUCCAUUGGGGUUUGAUGUUUUCUCUCAUGUUUCAACUGGGGUUAUGGGUUUGGGGAGGAAGAUCAUGGAGGUAAAUAAAGUGCCAUUCUCAUCACAUCCUAUCAAGGGCACAGUGCUGUCACCAUGACUGAUCACUGUGGCUGCUGGCCUUGAUCAUCCCGCUGAGGGAGUGUUUGUCAGGUUUCUCGACUGCAAAGUUAUUCUGGUCCUCCCCGUUUCCAUACAGUCCUCUUUGGAAGGAAAUCAUUACAGCCUUGAAAGGGGUGGAACGUCAUGGUCCUACUCCAUAAAUUACUGGGAUUUUUCUACCCAGGCGAUGCAAGUGGCCCAUUAUUUUUAUUUUUAAAAUUUUUUUGUCUUUUUGCCUUUUCUUGGGCUGCUCCCACGGCAUAUGGAGGUUCCCAGGCAAGGGGUUGAAUCGGAGCUGUAGCCACCGGCCUAUGCCAGAGCCACAGCAAUGCAGGAUCUGAGCCGCGUCUGCUACCUACAACACAGCUCAUGGCAACACCGGAUCCUUAACCCACUGAGCAAGGCCAGGGAUUGAACCCACAACCUCAUGGUUCCUCUUCGGAUUCGUUAACCACUGGGCCAGGACAGGAACUCCGAGAGUGACCCAUUUUUCAGUCGUUCAAUUUUGCCCCUAUAUUGGGCGGGCCCACUGUGGUUUAGAUGCAAUCGUGAGUUCCAGGCAACCCGGGGUGGGGGGAAAACACAAAUGCCCACAAGACCCAAGUGCUGUCUGAUGACUGAUAGAGUCUGACAAAAAAAAAAAAAAA
rnacentral:lncRNA from 1 species